rnacentral:rRNA from 1 species
GAUGAACGCUGGCGGCGUGCCUAAUACAUGCAAGUCGAGCGAACGGACGAGAAGCUUGCUUCUCUGAUGUUAGCGGCGGACGGGUGAGUAACACGUGGAUAACCUACCUAUAAGACUGGGAUAACUUCGGGAAACCGGAGCUAAUACCGGAUAAUAUUUUGAACCGCAUGGUUCAAAAGUGAAAGACGGUCUUGCUGUCACGUAUAGAUGGAUCCGCGCUGCAUUAGCUAGUUGGUAAGGUAACGGCUUACCAAGGCAACGAUGCAUAGCCGACCUGAGAGGGUGAUCGGCCACACUGGAACUGAGACAUGGUCCAGACUCCUACGGGAGGCAGCAGUAGGGAAUCUUCCGCAAUGGGCGAAAGCCUGACGGAGCAACGCCGCGUGAGUGAUGAAGGUCUUCGGAUCGUAAAACUCUGUUAUUAGGGAAGAACAUAUGUGUAAGUAACUGUGCACAUCUUGACGGUACCUAAUCAGAAAGCCACGGCUAACUACGUGCCAGCAGCCGCGGUAAUACGUAGGUGGCAAGCGUUAUCCGGAAUUAUUGGGCGUAAAGCGCGCGUAGGCGGUUUUUUAAGUCUGAUGUGAAAGCCCACGGCUCAACCGUGGAGGGUCAUUGGAAACUGGAAAACUUGAGUGCAGAAGAGGAAAGUGGAAUUCCAUGUGUAGCGGUGAAAUGCGCAGAGAUAUGGAGGAACACCAGUGGCGAAGGCGACUUUCUGGUCUGUAACUGACGCUGAUGUGCGAAAGCGUGGGGAUCAAACAGGAUUAGAUACCCUGGUAGUCCACGCCGUAAACGAUGAGUGCUAAGUGUUAGGGGGUUUCCGCCCCUUAGUGCUGCAGCUAACGCAUUAAGCACUCCGCCUGGGGAGUACGACCGCAAGGUUGAAACUCAAAGGAAUUGACGGGGACCCGCACAAGCGGUGGAGCAUGUGGUUUAAUUCGAAGCAACGCGAAGAACCUUACCAAAUCUUGACAUCCUUUGACAACUCUAGAGAUAGAGCCUUCCCCUUCGGGGGACAAAGUGACAGGUGGUGCAUGGUUGUCGUCAGCUCGUGUCGUGAGAUGUUGGGUUAAGUCCCGCAACGAGCGCAACCCUUAAGCUUAGUUGCCAUCAUUAAGUUGGGCACUCUAAGUUGACUGCCGGUGACAAACCGGAGGAAGGUGGGGAUGACGUCAAAUCAUCAUGCCCCUUAUGAUUUGGGCUACACACGUGCUACAAUGGACAAUACAAAGGGCAGCGAAACCGCGAGGUCAAGCAAAUCCCAUAAAGUUGUUCUCAGUUCGGAUUGUAGUCUGCAACUCGACUACAUGAAGCUGGAAUCGCUAGUAAUCGUAGAUCAGCAUGCUACGGUGAAUACGUUCCCGGGUCU